CAUAACUUGAUUUAUGUGUUGUCUGAGUCACGGACACAAAAUAAAAGAACCAAAUGCGCGCCUUUGACAAAUUAAUUAGGGCUAGCUAGCUACCUUCUCUAUUAUGAGAUUCUCUCACUCCCACUUAAAGCUGUUUCAACACUUUGACAAAAACUCUCCCUUUUCUUCGUGCCAGCACCCAAACUCUCCCUCUUCAGAAUUUCAUUCGAGCCAAACAACCAUCACUCACCCAAUACUGAAAUUGGUCUCUUUGAAUCACCCAAUACUAAAGGGAAAUCUUGGAUUGGGAAUCCGGGUCUUCAAUUUCGAAACCCAAUUAGGUCAUUCUCUCUUUCUCGCUCGUCUUCUCCGGCACGACACCAACAACUUGUCUUCUUCCCUAUAACAAUCAUCAUUUCUCACUUCCUGUCUCAACUCUCACCUUCUUCACCUCUACAACACAACGGAGGAGAGAGAAAGCACGCAGAUGAGAAAGAAUUCGAGGAGAGAGAAAACAGAUCUGGGAUUUCUCUCUCCUCCAUUGCUAACGAUGCUGGGUAUGGGUAGAGCUCCUAGUAGCGGAACCUCUCUUUUCAAUCAUCAAGUUCUCUCUUGACCUCGCUGCAUCGCCGCAGUGGCAGUGGGAAAACGCCACCGCCUGCGCCGUCGCCUGAUUCGCCACCGUCGCCGCUAUGCAUCCCCUCGACGUUGUGUGCACCAGGUUUCAAGUUAAUGAGGUCGAAUCUUCAAUCUUCUGACUUGCAAUAACACUGGGACGCUAUCUUCACCAUUGCUCGAUAUAUUGGAGGGACUGAGAGGAUCUAUGCCUCUAUGGAGGCUUCUCUCCUGCUGUGAUCGGUUCUACUCUAUGGAGGUUUAUAUUUCUUCAUGUUUGAGAGCCCCAGUAUGUUCUUGAUUCUCUAACCUUUUCAUUUCCCUUUUCUUGAAUUAGGAUUUUUAUUAUAUGAGUCUUUUUCUUUUUGGUGGUUUCUUGAGAUCUCUGUUUGUUAAAUGUUAGAUUAGUAAUUGUGCUCUUGAAUAUAAAGAAUUUGUUGGAGAGAGAAAGGGAAAGACGUUUGUGACUCUUGAUAUUGA